UGAAACUUCUUUAGGCUUACACCCAUUCGUGGCAGUGUCUUCCCAGUUGAGGAAAGAGGAUAGAACAAGGACGGACUCUGGGCUGGUUGGAUACUCAGGGUUAAGUGCAGGCCAAGUCCCUUAGGCUUCCAAAACAUGGAAUGGCAGAGCACGAUCUGUGGUCAUCCCAACUGUCUACCUCUGUC